rnacentral:rRNA from 1 species
UACGUAGGGCGCAAGCGUUGUCCGGAAUUAUUGGGCGUAAAGGGCUCGUAGGCGGUCUGUUGCGUCGGGAGUGAAAACUUACAGCUUAACUGUGAGCGUGCUUCCGAUACGGGCAGACUUGAGGUAUUCAGGGGAGAACGGAAUUCCUGGUGUAGCGGUGAAAUGCGCAGAUAUCAGGAGGAACACCGGUGGCGAAGGCGGUUCUCUGGGAAUAUCCUGACGCUGAGGAGCGAAAGUGUGGGGAGCGAACAGG